CAUUGGAACCACCUGAUCCCAUCCCGAACUCAGUAGUGAAACGAUGUAUCGCCGAUGGUAGUGUGGGGUUUCCCCAUGUGAGAGUAGGUC
rnacentral:rRNA from 1 species